GACGAACGCUGGCGGCGUGCUUAACACAUGCAAGUCGAACGGAAAGGCCCUGCUUUUGUGGGGUGCUCGAGUGGCGAACGGGUGAGUAACACGUGAGUAACCUGCCCUUGACUUUGGGAUAACUUCAGGAAACUGGGGCUAAUACCGGAUAGGAGCUCCUGCUGCAUGGUGGGGGUUGGAAAGUUUCGGCGGUUGGGGAUGGACUCGCGGCUUAUCAGCUUGUUGGUGGGGUAGUGGCUUACCAAGGCUUUGACGGGUAGCCGGCCUGAGAGGGUGACCGGACAUGUUGGGACUGAGGUACGGCCGCAGAGCCUACGCGACGCAACAGUGGGGAAUGUGACACCAUGCGCGGAAUCUUGAUGCAGCAACGCCGCGUGCGGGAUGACGGCCUUGGGGUUGGAUAAAGCAAUCGCCUGUAACGACGCGGGAGCGGCGGGGAUGGGAAGAAGAACACCGGGCGAGUACAUG
rnacentral:rRNA from 1 species